rnacentral:rRNA from 1 species
UACGAAGGGGGCUAGCGUUGUUCGGAUUUACUGGGCGUAAAGCGCACGUAGGCGGAUCUUUAAGUCAGGGGUGAAAUCCCGAGGCUCAACCUCGGAACUGCCUUUGAUACUGGAGGUCUCGAGUCCGGGAGAGGUGAGUGGAACUGCGAGUGUAGAGGUGAAAUUCGUAGAUAUUCGCAAGAACACCAGUGGCGAAGGCGGCUCACUGGCCCGGAACUGACGCUGAGGUGCGAAAGCGUGGGGAGCAAACAGG